CCUUUGACCUUGAGUUGUGACCUUGACCUUGAGUUGACAUGGCUGACUCAUGAGUUCUUGAUGAGGUGAUCAUUUGACCCAAGUUUAAUGUAAAUCCUUCAAGGGGUGUAUGAGAUACAGAGUGGACACAAAAUGGAAGGCUCAAACCUUUGACCUAGAGUUGUGACCUUGACCUUGAGCCAACAUGGCUGACUCAUGAGUUCUGCACAUCGUCUUGGAUAGGUGAUCACUUGACCGAAGUUUCAUAUGAAUCCUUCAAGGGGAUUAGGAGAUACAGAGCGGACACAAAAUGGAAAGCUCAAAUUUUUGACUUUGAGUUGUGACCUUGACCUUGAAUUGACAUGGCCGAUUUAUGAGUUCUGCACAUCGUCUUGAUGAGGUGAUCAUUUUAUCCAAGUUUCAUAAUUAUCCUUCAAGAGGUUUAAGAGAUACAGAGCGGAUACGAAAUGGUAGGAUCAAACCUUUGACCUUUAGUUGUGAUCUUGACCUUGAGUCGACAUGGCUGACUAAAGGGUUCUGCACAUGGUCUUGAUGAGAUGAUCAUUUGACCCAAGUUUCAUGAUUAUCCUUCAAGGGGUUUAGGAGAUGCGGACAAGAAAUGGAAGGCUCAAACCUUUGACCUUGAGUUGUCACCCAGACCUACAACCGACAUAGCUGACUCAUAGGUUCUGCACAUUGUCUUGAUGAGGUGAACAUUUGACCUAAGUUUCAUCAAAAUCCUUCAAAGGGUUUAGGAGAUACAGAGCGGAUACAAAAUGUUACAGAAGGACGGACAGAGACCAUUCAAUGAUUCCUAUAACCCCCCACCACUUGUGGCGGGGGUUAAAAAAGAGGUUUUCAGCCUUACCAAUAAAGGCUGAUGAGUAUAUACUGAUAUAAAGCUUACUGUUUUGAUGUUUCUAUCAUAUCUUUCUAGUUAAUGCUUCUGAUUUCAGAUACAUUUGUUAGAGGGAUCUGCUAUAUUUGUACGCGUAGCAGAUGCUCGGAGAGACGAUGAACUUGUUUCAGAUAUUUCGCACAACAAACUGGUUGAAGUGAACACAGACUAUAUCCCAGUUGGUCUGGAGGAAAGUUAUUCUCGAGAAAGGCCCGGUAAACCUCUCGAGUCUUUGGUAUCUGUUGGAAAAACACCGGAACAAUUUGUAGAUAAUCUCAAGGUCAAGUUCAAGAGUCUUGUAUACAAGUUAUACGAGGAAGGUAAUGUAAACAAGUAACAAAGGUCAAGAUCACUCUUAGAAGUAGGUCAGUUGCAGUAACCAAAUAGCAACUAGAACAAAAGAUUAGCAAGCAACAAUAUUUUCAUUUUUAUAAAUAACAGAGUGUGACACUUGAAAGGAUCAGUGGAAAGGCCAUAUUGUGCAUUAAAAAAUUGUUUUGUUUGAAAUGACAUGAUCUCAAAAUAGUAAGCUAAAUAUAGUACAGAAUUCUAAGAAGAUUAUAACAGCAGACGUAAACACUAGUUGAGAGAUGCAUGUGAUAUCUCUUAUGUUGUUAUUAUAGUCACUAAUAUUUUGAAAUAACUUUAUUGAUUUAAUUGAUAAUUCUUGCACACUUUUCUUCAAUUGUCAUGAGGCAAAAUCACUGUUGCACCAAAUGCAGCUCCACAUAAGAUUAAUAAAAAAUACAGAAUAUAUAUAUAGUUGCAAGAUUAUUAUUUCAGUCUGUUUUGACCAAAGUCAUUCACAUAUUAAUUUAUUUAUAUUCCACAUUUGACAUUUAAUUUGUUCAACCUUUCCAGUACAUGUAUAUUAAAUAGUUUUGUUCAUGUAGAAUUUAGUAUUGAGCACACUCUAAGAUAAGUCACAAAGAAAAUAUGUGUAUAUGUGUCAUAAGUUAACUUUUGAAUAAUCAUUGUAAAUUAUUUUUGUGUUAAUGCAUCAUGUUCUUAGCUCCCCUGAGCCAGGUUCAUAGUUAACCCUUAGCAUGCUGCACAGGAUUGAUUCUCACUUUGCGACCAGUGUAGAUCAUGAUCAGCCUGCAUAUCUGUGCAGUCUGAUCAAGAUCUGCACUGUUUGCUAUUCAGUCAGAAUAUUUCUGAUAAGCACCCCUUUUAACAGUUAAUGGCACUGCCUAAAUUGGAUUUGGACAAGUUCAUUUUAGAAAUUCAGCAAGGUAAGGGUUAAGAUCAUUUUCCUGUGUCCAUCAUUGACUUAGAAAAGAAGUUCACCUAUGAUUGGUUUUUCAGCUUCAGGUUUAUAGCUAAUGUAUUUCUACUUUGCUUCGACCAUAUUUGGUAUGUCAGCAAUUUUUUAUCUUAGUGGCAGAAAUUGCAGUUUCAUAUUCAUAGACCCAUUGUGGCAGAAAUUGCAGUUUCAUACUCAUAGACUGGGUGUUUUCACUGUUGUAUGUCAACUUUCGGUCAGUUUUACCUGUAAGUUUUUCCCUCUGUUUUACAGACCUGGUCAGGCAUUCCUCAUUUUUAGCUCCACUAUUCGGAGAAUAGGGGGCUAUACUACUCGCCCCGGUGUCGGCGUGACCCUUCUUGGUCAAAGUUUUUUGGCAACGUUUGUUUUUCUGUCAUAUCUUUGUUACUAUUGCUUAUAUCUUACUGAAAGUUCACAUAAAUAUUGUCCAGCAUACAAACCAAGCUGUUAUACUUAGGUUAUUUUUAAGGUUAAAGUUUUCGACAACCUUUUCUUUUCUGUCAUAUCUUUGUUACUUUUGCUUAUAUCAUACUGAAAGUUCACAUAAAUAUUGUCCAGCAUACAAACAAAGUGUGUAUAGGGGCUUGGCCCAUUAUACCCAAGGUCAAGGUCACCAAGGAGUUAUACUUAGAAUUAUUUUCAUGUUUAUUUUUUUUGCUUCGUUUAUAGACAUAUCUUUGGUACUUUAAAAGAUAAUGACUUGAAAUUAUAAGUAUUUGUUUAUAAUCAUCUGCAUGUGUGGCUACAUACCCUAUAACUCUAAUUGUGUUUUUGACAGAAUUAUGCCCCAUUUGUACUUAAACGUUUUUGCAAUCUUCACUUUCUGGAUACUACUUUAAUGCAAUAUAAGAUAAAGACUUGAAACUUAAAAUGUAUCUUUAUCAUCAUCAUCUGCAUGUGUGGUAACAAUUCCCAUAACUCUGAUUCAUAUUUUUGACUGAAUUAUGCCCCUUUUAUACUUAAAUAUUGUACAAACUUCGUUUUCUGGACAUAACUUUGGUACUAUAUAAGAUAAUGACUUGAAACUCAAAAUAUAUCUGUAUCAUCAUCAUCUGCAUGUGUUGUAACAAUCCUAAUAACUCAAAUUUGUGUAUUUGAUGGAAUUAUGCCCCUUGGUGUAUCUUCCUUUUAAAGUAUAGGUCUCUUAUUCAGACAUAUAUUCAUUUUACUCUCAAAUCCCCAAAUAGUGGAGCGCGCUGUCUUUUGGACAGCUCUUGUUAUGUGUCAGAUUGCUAAUUUGUGAUGUAUAUAAUUGACAAUAUUCCUGCAUUGAAAAUAUCACCCAGUUGCUAGGAAAAUGUAUCUUCUUUUUUGCUUCUGUAUAUGGAGAAACCUUUGUUAAAGACCAUCUGUGAAUACCGAGUAUCAGGCAUUCCACUUUCUGGCAGCCAUAGCCCUAUCAUACAUGAACUGUUUCCCUGAACAUACCUUUUUCUGGUUUUAGGUGAAUAAUAUAUGUACAAUUUUGGUUACUUAAGUUGCACUUGUCUCUUUCUUGUGGACUUAUUUUAUUAGCUUCCCCAGCAAGCGUCUUUCUCAUUUGCCUUAUGAAUCUGUUCACCAGAGGUGUACUUACAUAUAUAUUUUGCCUGAUUUUGAUGUAUGAUACAUGGCGGAUCUGCAAUAUCCAUUUAUCACAUAUGUGUUUGCUUGUUUCUUUCUGUCUCAAAUGUACUCUGCAUUAGAACAUGUCUUUAGUUAAAGCACUAAAUAUUGUUGUAUGCUUGUUUGUUAUUGUUAUUAAAAUGUUUAUUUCGUUUUGUCUGAAUUAAACUAUUCCCUCUGUAGAAGAUGUCUUUAUUUGAAUAAAACAAAAACUCAUGUUGAAAAGUACAAAGUUAUCUUUAAAACGUGUUUCUCGCUGAAUUGUCCAAGUAUUAGUGAACUAUAUCUGAUAUUUUCACUUUGAAAAAUAACAGAUAUAUUUUUACUGGUAAUUAAGAAAUGAAGUGGGUAAAUUUAGUCAAAAUAUGAAAUGAAAAGAAAAUUUGUUUGUUUUUUAAUCAAAAUAUCUUUCACUCCUGAACACCCAUAUCUUACAUUUCCACUAACCACUCGUGGAAACAUUGCAUCUGGUGUUCACUGGUGGAAGAUUGUUCAACCUUACACUAAAAUAAACAAAUAUUCUGUUCUUUUAUUGGCAAACAAAACAGUCUACAUUAUAAAUUCUGUUAAUUGAAAUAUUUUUUUUUUCAAUUUUACCGCAUAGAAUCCGUCCACUUUGCUUUUAAAUGUUUGUUUCAUUUUUCUUUAGUCCACAAUGUACUGUUAUAAUAUCAUGUGUAUUAAUUUACUAAAUUAUUUUUAUAUAACCAUUUUAUGUAUAGAUAAAUAGUAUUUUGAAUUCCAUUUGUUUGUUUUAUCAUAUUCAUAGUGUUUAUUUAUUUUCACAGUUUAAAUAUUUGAGGAAAAAAAAGAAUAUACAUUAGACUUUAAUGUUUGUGCCAUGGGGUUUCUUCAGUAUGCAAUUUAGGUUUUAUUUACACUCCAUGUUUGUUCUUAGCUGAAUGACAGUAUAUUUAAAAUACAUGUAUUUAUUAUCAUCAUUAUUCAUUAUUAAAGUUGUUGUUAUUGA